rnacentral:rRNA from 1 species
AUACGUAGGGGGCGAGCGUUGUCCGGAAUGAUUGGGCGUAAAGGGCGCGUAGGCGGCGCGGUAAGUCUGGAGUGAAAGUCCUGCUUUCAAGGUGGGAAUUGCUUUGGAUACUGCCGCGCUUGAGUGCAGGAGAGGUUAUCGGAAUUCCCGGUGUAGCGGUGAAAUGCGUAGAGAUCGGGAGGAACACCAGUGGCGAAGGCGGGUAACUGGACCGCAACUGACGCUGAGGCGCGAAAGUGUGGGGAGCAAACAGGAUUAGAUACCCUGGUAGUCCACACUGUAAACGAUGAAUGCUAGGUGUAAGAGGUAUCGACCCCUUUUGUGCCGGAGUCAACACAAUAAGCAUUCCGCCUGGGGAGUACGGCCGCAAGGUUGAAACUCAAAUGAAUUGACGGGG